AGCGAACGCUGGCGGCAGGCCUAACACAUGCAAGUCGAACGAACUCUUCGGAGUUAGUGGCGGACGGGUGAGUAACGCGUGGGAACGUGCCUUUAGGUUCGGAAUAACUCAGGGAAACUUGUGCUAAUACCGAAUGUGCCCUUCGGGGGAAAGAUUUAUCGCCUUUAGAGCGGCCCGCGUCUGAUUAGCUAGUUGGUGAGGUAAAGGCUCACCAAGGCGACGAUCAGUAGCUGGUCUGAGAGGAUGAUCAGCCACAUUGGGACUGAGACACGGCCCAAACUCCUACGGGAGGCAGCAGUGGGGAAUCUUGCGCAAUGGGCGGAAGCCUGACGCAGCCAUGCCGCGUGAAUGAUGAAGGUCUUAGGAUUGUAAAAUUCUUUCACCGGGGACGAUAAUGACGGUACCCGGAGAAGAAGCCCCGGCUAACUUCGUG
rnacentral:rRNA from 1 species